UACGUAGGGGCCUAGCGUUGUCCGGAUUUAUUGGGCGUAAAGAGCUCGUAGGCGGUUUGGUAAGUCGGGUGUGAAAUCUCCACGCUCAACGUGGAGGGGCCACCCGAUACUGCCAUGACUGGAGUCCGGUAGGGGAGAGUGGAAUUCCCGGUGUAGCGGUGAAAUGCGCAGAUAUCGGGAAGAACACUCGUGGCGAAGGCGGCUCUCUGGGACGGUACUGACGCUGAGACGCGAAAGCGUGGGGAGCGAACAGG
rnacentral:rRNA from 1 species